rnacentral:rRNA from 1 species
AUUGAACGCUGGCGGAAUGCUUUACACAUGCAAGUCGAACGGCAGCACGGACUUCGGUCUGGUGGCGAGUGGCGAACGGGUGAGUAAUGUAUCGGAACGUGCCCAGUCGUGGGGGAUAACGUAGUGAAAAUUACGCUAAUACCGCAUACGAUCUAUGGAUGAAAGCGGGGGAUCGCAAGACCUCGCGCGAUUGGAGCGGCCGAUAUCAGAUUAGGUAGUUGGUGGGGUAAAGGCCCACCAAGCCAACGAUCUGUAGCUGGUCUGAGAGGACGACCAGCCAGACUGGAACUGAGACACGGUCCAGACCCCUACGGGAGGCAGCAGUGGGUAAUUUUGGACAAUGGGCGAAAGCCUGAUCCAGCCAUUCCGCGUGCAGGAUGAAGGCCCUCGGGUUGUAAACUGCUUUUGUACAGAACGAAAAGGUUUCUACUAAUACUAGGAGCUCAUGACGGUACUGUAAGAAUAAGCACCGGCUAACUACGUGCCAGCCGCCGCCGUAA